rnacentral:rRNA from 1 species
UAGGGAAUCUUCCACAAUGGACGCAAGUCUGAUGGAGCAACGCCGCGUGAGUGAAGAAGGUUUUCGGAUCGUAAAGCUCUGUUGUUGGUGAAGAAGGAUAGAGGUAGUAACUGGCCUUUAUUUGACGGUAAUCAACCAGAAAGUCACGGCUAACUACGUGCCAGCAGCCGCGGUAAUACGUAGGUGGCAAGCGUUGUCCGGUUUUAUUGGGCGUAAAGCGAGCGCAGGCGGAAGAAUAAGUCUGAUGUGAAAGCCCUCGGCUUAACCGAGGAACUGCAUCGGAAACUGUUUUUCUUGAGUGCAGAAGAGGAGAGUGGAACUCCAUGUGUAGCGGUGGAAUGCGUAGAUAUAUGGAAGAACACCAGUGGCGAAGGCGACUCUCUGGUCUGCAACUGACGCUGAGGCUCGAAAGCAUGGGUAGCGAACAGG